rnacentral:lncRNA from 1 species
UUGUUCGCUCUCCUCCUCACGGCCUCUUUGUCAAAAGAUCUCUGUCACAAAGAUGACGAAAACGCCCUCCUCAAGAUCAAGAAGUCCCUUAACAACCCUUACACCAUCAUUUCCUGGGACCCCAAAGACGACUGCUGCACCUGGGUCUCCGUUGAGUGCGGCGACGCAACUGUUGAUCACCGCGUCAUCUCCCUAGACAUAUCAAACGACGAUGUCUCCGCUCAGAUCCCUCCUGAAGUCGGCGACUUAUCGUAUCUACAAACCCUCAUAUUCCGCAAACUCCCUAACCUCACCGGUGAAAUCAAACCUACCAUCGCCAAGCUCAAGUAUCUUCGUUUUCUCUGGCUCAGCUGGACCAACCUGACCGGUCCGGUUCCUGAAUUUUUGAGUCAGCUCAAGGAUCUAGAGUACAUUAACCUUUCCUUCAAUGACCUCUCUGGUUCCAUACCCGGUUCUCUCUCUUUGUUACCUAAACUCGGGAUUCUUGAACUAAGCAGGAACAAACUUACAGGUGAUCGAUCACUCACUCUCUUUGUCUAUCUUGGCAAGGCCGGUUUGGAGCUUAGAUAAAACAUUCGCCUUGGUCUUUAAAAAUUUUAAGUGAUAUUAUACAUAGAUUGCAUGGCCCCAUAUUAAUUUUUAAAAAAUUGUUAAGAUUAAUUUAAAAAUGUGUACCGUCUCAUAUCUUGGCUAUUAGUCAUUAUUAAUCUAACCUAUACUGUACACUAAUUGUUAGGUUCAAUACAUAUAUUGCAUGGCCUCAUAUUAUUAAAAAAAAUUGUUAAGAUUAAUUUUAAAAUGUUUAUUGUCGCAUAUUUUAUCUAUUAGUCAUUAUUAAUCUAACUUAUACUUUAAAAUUCUUGUUAGGUUCAAUACCAGAGUCAUUUGGAGCGUUUAAAGGAGUGGUACCUCCUGAGCUUUUUCUAUCGCACAACCAGCUAUCCGGUUCGAUACCAAAAUCACUAGGAAACCUCGAUUUUCACCGGAUCGAUUUCUCCCAUAACAAGCUUGAAGGUGAUGCUUCGAUGAUGUUUGGAGCCAAAAAGACGUCAUGGUCCGUUGAUUUAUCAAGAAACAAGCUCCAGUUUGAUAUUUCCAAGGUUAAAGUGGCUACAACAGUUAAUAACUUAGACUUGAAUCACAAUAAGAUCACAGGGAGUAUCCCGGUUCAAUGGACCGAGCUUACUCUUCAGUCUUUCAAUGUAAGUUAUAACCGACUUUGUGGACGAAUACCCCAGGGAGGGGACCUUCAGAUAUUUGAUGCUUAUGCAUAUGUACACAACAAGUGCUUGUGUGGUGCACCUCUUCAGAGUUGCAACGUGGAGAUUCAAGCAACCGAUCUUUAUCUAAAUUUACCAUCAGAAUAAAUCAUGUAUAAGGACAUCUGUAUGUUAUAUUCGGAAUGAUUAAUAAAAAUGAAUAAAUUGUAUUUGAUGAAUUCACUGCACAUUUUCAAAAUGUAUUAGAUCCAUCCGCGAGCAACGACUAUGGUUGGCCAUGGAGAUUGAAACAAUUACGGAUUUGAAACUCUGAUACCCCAGCAUAGAGCCAUGAGAUAACAUAUGAUAUACCAAAUUGAUCAUUCUACCCUGACUCAGUAGCAAGUAGAUACAUGACCAUAUCUUAUACACAAACCACAAGCGAGAAAAUAUAAAUCAAUAUGCAAACUAAUGAGGAGUAAGCAACCAACCAUUUCACAUUCGUUUCUGAAAGUACAAGGCUAACUUAAGAAUGUAAUCGUGGAAAACAUAUAAUAUAUUAGUAUAAUUUUAUCAUUAUUUUAGUAAAUUAUGUUAGGUUUGGUUGAACCGGAAUUUGAUCAAUAAAAUUACAAAUUGCCAACGUUUGGUUAAGCAAACAAGCCGCGAAGAAAACAUGUGUCGUCGAUCGCACGGAAGCAACCCGAAGGCAUCAGAGGAUUUGUCUUCUCUUCCUCUGUUUUUCCCUGUUUUUUUUUUGUGUUUCAUUGUUACUCAAAAUCAUUCAACUGAACUGAAUAACUAACAGAAUAAAAUAUAAGAUAUUAUUGAGUUUUUUUGUUCUAUAAUGUGGAGUUUUUGUAAUAUUUCCGCAUCUUUAUUUUGAACUGAGAAUUACAACAGGAUGCUAAUAUAGCGCCACCUUCUCUUGUGUCUUGAUAUAAACAACAAAUAAUUUCAAAAUUUCUGUAAAUAAUAACCCAAGAAUUUGAAGUUAGAAAGAAGCAUGUGUUACAACAACAACAACAACAGGAUCCAAAUCAAGCUCCUCUUGUGUCAAAGCCUCAAACAUCGGAUGUUUCUCUAAGCAAGACUUCAUCUACUCACCAAUCUCCUCAACAUCAGUGAUCGUGUAAACAAUCCCACCACCUCUAAGAACGUAAGCAUACUCAUCAAGCAAAUCAACGCUGAUCACUCUCCCCCUGUGAUUCUUCUCCUUGACAUGCGGAUUGGGAAAGAGGAAAAACAUCUUCGAAAGCUGUCCUUUCUCAAAGUAGUUAGGAACGUACUUCAUUGAGUUUGUCCUAACGACAUAGGCGCUCUCAUACUCUCCCUCAGGGCUAAGAUCCGUUCCUUGACGUAUUCAGUGACUUUAUCUCUCAGCUCCAUACCGAUCAUUAGAGUAUCGGGAAAGAGUGUGUAAAGGGAGAUGAGAAGGCCACCUUAGCCGCAUCCGAUAUCUGCGAACUCAAUCUUCUUGGAGGUUUUGGUGUUAGCUUUGGGGAAGUGAAGUGAAAGUGCGACGUGAGAUGGAGAGAUGGGAAUGGGGAAGUGAGAAUCGCUGAGUGGGUUGCUAUGAGCUCUUUCUCUGUAGAAUCUCUUCCGGGGAAGGCCUGUGGACUUGCUGAAAGUUGGUUUCGUUUCGCUGUCGCUAUCGUCUGUUUACACUUAUAACGGUAAUAACUAACUCCAAGGUUGGAUUGGACCUUUCACUUUUGGGCCUUAUUUUCAAAUUGCGAACUCCUCUGCAUUAUUCUCAUUUUGGGCUUUUUCUUUUGAAGGCCCAGUCACUUUCUCGACUCAAAUGUCUCUUCCGGUUUAGGAGUCCAGUCAAUUGAACCAGACCGGAAAUCGAUCCGUGAGUUUCACACGCACCGUCGGUUAGCAAUCAAAAUACUUUAUUUUAAAAGUCACACACCAGAACUUAUUUAACACGUGGUCUAUUCAGCAAAAGUAAUAACUAAAACCAUACCCUACCAUGUUUCCCACUCACUGCGUUACUCUCGUUAGCCUAUAUAAAUCAUCACAAGUUUCCAGUUGAGCUCAAACACAAACACAACAACACACUAUGGGUAAGACAACGAUACUGCUCUUGCUCUUGUUCGCUCUCCUCCUCACCACAUCUUUAUCCAAAGACCUCUGUCACAAAGAUGACAAAAACACCCUCCUCAAGAUCAAGAAAGCCAUGAACGACCCUUACACCAUCAUCUCCUGGGACCCCAAGGACGACUGCUGCACCUGGUACUCCGUUGAGUGCGGCAACGCAAACCGCGUCACCUCUCUAGACUUAUCAGACGACGACGUCUCCGCUCAGAUCCCUCCUGAAGUCGGCGACUUGCCUUAUCUACAAUACCUCACGUUCCGCAAACUCCCUAACCUCACCGGUGAAAUCCCACCCACCAUCGCCAAGCUCAAGUAUCUCAAAUCUCUCUGGCUCAGCUGGAACAGCCUGACCGGCCCGGUUCCUGAAUUUCUGAGCCAGCUCAAGAACCUAGAGUACAUUAACCUUUCUUUCAAUAAACUCUCUGGCUCCAUACCCGGUUCUCUCUCUUUGUUACCUAAACUAGAUUUUCUUGAACUAAGCAGGAACAAGCUUACAGGUAAUCACUCAUUCUCUUUGUCUCCAUUAGUCUUUUAUUAACAAGCUGUAAUUUUAAAAAUCUCAUUUAUCAAAAUAUACAAUUAGGUCCCAUACCAGAGUCAUUUGGAUCAUUUAAAAGAGCAGUAUAUGGGAUUUACCUAUCGCACAACCAGCUGUCCGGUUCUAUACCAAAAUCACUAGGCAACAUCGACUUUAACACCAUUGAUCUUUCCCGGAACAAGCUUGAAGGUGAUGCGUCCAUGUUGUUUGGAGUAAAAAAGACGACAUGGCACAUUGACUUAUCUAGAAACAUGUUCCAGUUCGAUAUCUCCAAGGUUAAGGUCGCUAAGACAGUUAAUUUCUUGGACUUGAAUCACAACGGGCUCACAGGGAGUAUCCCGGAUCAAUGGACCCAACUUGAUCUUCAGACUUUCAACGUUAGCUAUAACAGACUGUGUGGACGCAUCCCUCAGGGAGGUGACCUUCAGAGUUUUGAUGCUUAUGCCUAUUUACACAACAAGUGCUUGUGUGGUGCACCUCUUCCGAGUUGCAACGUGAAGAUUCAGGCAACCGAUCUUUAUCUAAACUUACCAUCAGAAUAAAUCAUGUAUAAGGACACCUGUAUGUUCCUUUCGGAAUAAAAAUGAAUCAUAUUUCAUUUGAUAAGAUUUAGCCCGUUUUUAGAAUGUACUAAUAUGAUUGAUCGUCUAGCAACGUUGAGUAGGACACCACAUGAACAGAUCGAAACCAUUAUUGGUGAUUGUUUUUUUUACGAGUUAAACAAAUCGAGUGACAUUGAAUCUUUCCCAUUAACUGUUUAUAAAAAUGAUAGAUGCAAAAACAUUCUGCUUUCCCAUCUAUGUUCCGCAGAUGAUCUGUUGGUUUUCACUGAUGGCACGAAAAGGUCUAUUGAAGCAGUGCUCAGGAUAUUCAAGGUGUUUGAAAGCUGUUCUGGUUUAAGGAUAAGUUUGGAAAAAUCCACUCUAUACACUGCGGGCAUAAGUGACAAUAUAAAGGAAGACAUUCUUGCAUCUUUUCCUUUCUCAACGGGUAGCCUACCGGUUAGAUACUUGGGAUUACCUCUCCUUACUAAGCGCAUGACAGUGAAUGACUAUCUGCCCCUUGUAGAGAAAGUGCGAAAGAAAAUGAGCUCAUGGACAGGAAGACUUCUUUCGCGUGCGGGACGCUUGCAACUUCUAAAGUCUGUCAUAACAAGCUUAGCUAACUUCUGGAUGGCAGCUUUCAGGCUUCCCCGUAGCUGCCUAAAAGAGAUUGAAAGGCUUUGCUCGGCUUAUCUUUGGUCUGGUCCUGAUCUCAAAACAACAAAAGCGAAGGUUAGCUGGCAAGACAUCUGUUACCCAAAAGAAGAAGGUGGAUUGGGGCUUAGACCUUUGAAGGAACUAAAUAAAGUGUAUGGGCUGAAGCUCAUAUGGAGGCUACUGGCAGAGACGUCGUUAUGGGUCCGUUGGGUCCAAUGCUAUUUGGUUCGCAAAGGUUCAUUCUGGUCUAUCAAAGAAAAUACUAGUUCGGGAUCAUGGGUCUGGAGGAAGUUACUGAAACUGAGAGGUCUUGCAAAACAGUAUAUAAAGAAGGAAGUGAGAAAUGGAGAGAAUACAUCUUUUUGGUAUGAUAGCUGGUCAAGAUUUGAUAUUUUAAAAGACAUGCUUGGAGAACGAGGUUCGCUUGAUUUGGGAGUUCCUGACCACUAUUCUGUUGCGGAAGUAAAAAGAAGUAGAAUGAGGAGUAGUAGGAGAAGAAACCAUAGAGUGGAUAUCCUAAAUCAGAUAGAAGAAGUGAUAAGUAGGCUUGAAAAUGGCAAUGAGGAGGACAUUGUAUUAUGGAAGCAUGCAGAAGGUAAAUUCAGAACCAACUUCUCGACAAGCAAAACUUGGGAUCAGAUUCGAAAUGUGAAGCCCAUAUGCACAUGGCAUAAGGGAGUCUGGUUUCCUCAAUCAACUCCGAAGUAUGCUUUUACUAUGUGGGUAGCUAUCAAAGGAAGAUUGCAGACAACAGACAGAAUGCAGCAGUGGAAUAGCUCCAUUAACACAACGUGUGUGCUCUGUAAUGAUGUGCCAGAGUCUUGUGCUCAUCUUUUCUUUGGCUGUCGUUACUCCGAGAGGAUUUGGAGAAAGCUUGCGGAGGGUCUGAUGAGAGAUGCUUUCACUGUGGACUGGAGUGAGUUGAUAUCUAUAGUCUCGAAAUCAUGGGUAACACCUAUCAAGACAUUCAUACUCCGAUAUGUAUUGCAAGCCACAGUUUACACAAUUUGGUGGGAGAGAAAUGCGCGCAGGCAUGGGGAGAAGCCUAGAGAUAUCAAUGGGUUAAUUAAGCUUGUGGACAAGUAUAUGAGGUUGAAACUUUUAUCACUAAAGGGAAGAGGAGAUUACUAUGAAGAAGGUCUGGUAACAUGGUUUGGUGUUCAGCCUAGCUCAUGAUUGCUAUAGACAGAUAUUUGAAGUUGUUUUGAUGGCCGCAUGGUUGGAUGCAAGGUGAGAAGGUUGCUAUGAAAUGUAGUGGUCUAGUAGGAGUGAGUGUUAGACAUCCAGUAGGAGUGAGUGCUGGAUAACCAGUAGGAGUGAGAGCUGGCUACCUAGUAGGAGUGAGAGCUAGGUAGAUUGAAAGAAGGUGAAUAUAGGGAUGAGUAAAGCUGAUGACUUGCAGGAAAAGUUUCUAUCUUUCUACUUGGGUUUUAACUAAUCUUGUAUAGAAAGUUUAAGAAAGGACACACAUAGUUGUAAAAAAGAUAUUUUCUUUUGAAUUCAAUUUAACAUUAAUUCAAAAAAAAAAAAAAAAUGAUAGAGCUAAACUUUUUGUUAUGUGAAUAAAGUUUUGAUUGGUACAGAAAUGUUUAGAGCAUUUUAGUUUUUUUUUUUUACAUUAUCUCUUCCAAAUCCCUUUUUUUUUGUAUAAAACGUACAUUUCUUUUAACAAUGUAGGGCUAAAAAUGAUUUUACGGACCGGAAAAUAGAAGCCCAAAUGAUAAAGAGUUUCCAUAUAUAAAUACUAGCCCAGGUUUUUUUUGAUGGUUUAGGGUUUCGAAGUUUUCGGUUUUCUUUAAGGUCACGGCACUUACCGCAGCAGAGCUGUUUCUUCACUGGCACGGUACAGUGUUUCUAAUUUCUAAUGCCAUAUUUACUAGCAAAGUAAAUCUAAGUUAUGUUACACAAAUCGAGUGAUCAGAACCACACCAAUUAAAUGUUCAUAAAAUGCUUGUUCGAUCCUCUGUUUUAAGAACGGAGAAGAAGCCAGACAAAGACUUAUCGAGUUAUCCUCUGUUUUUCACUUAUAAGCUAACUCAAAGGUUGGACCUCUAAACAUUUCAGGGCUCGUUUUCAAAUUGCUGACUCCAGUGCAUAAUUCUGUUUUGAGCUUUACUUUUGAAGGCUCGGUCCCUUUAUCGACUCAAAUGUCUCUUCCGGUUUAGCAAUCCAGUCAACUGAACCAGACCGGAGAUUAAUCCAUGAGUUCACACACACCGUCGGUAACCAAUCAAAAUACUUUGUUUUAAAUUUAAAAGUGGGAUAUUUUAAAGAUAUCACCGGAACUUGUUUAACAUGUAAAAGUCAGCAAAAGUAAAACGCGUACACUACCAUUUAAUUGCCUGACUUGCGUUAGCCUAUAUAUAUGAUCACAAGUUUUCAAUUUAAGCUCAAACGUAAAUACAACACUCUAUGGAUAAGACAACGACACUGCUCUUGCUCUUGUUCGCUCUCCUCCUCACGACAUCUUUAUCCAAAGACCUCUGUCACAAAGAUGACCUCUCCGGUUCGAUACCCGGUUCACUCUCUUUAUUACCUAAACUCGAGAUUCUUGACCUCAGCAGGAACAAGCUUACAGGUGAAUUACUACUCUCUCUGUCUCUAUAAGUCAUCAAUUAACCUGAGUAACAAACCAUAAAUUUUCUAACGUCAAGUUUAAACUUCCAACUAUAGGUUCGAUACCAGAGUCAUUUGGAUCCUUUAAAGGAGUGAUGUAUGCUCUUUUCCUAUCUCACAACCAGCUGUCCGGUUCUAUUCCGAAAUCAUUAGAAAACCUGGACAUUAACCAGAUUGAUCUUUCCCGGAACAAGCUUGAAGGUGACGCGUCGAUGUUGUUUGGAGCCCAAAAGACUACACAUAACAUUGACCUAUCAAGAAACAUGUUCCAGUUCAAUAUCUCCAUGGUUAAAGUCUCUAAAACAGUUAAUUUCUUGCACUUGAAUCACAACGGGCUCACAGGGACUAUCCCGAUUCAAUGGACCCAACUUGAUCUUCAGAUUUUCAAUGUUAGCUAUAACAGACUGUGUGGACGCAUCCCCCAGGGAGGGGAACUUCAGAGAUUUGAUGCUUAUGCCUAUUUACACAACAAGUGUUUGUGUGGUGCACCUCUUCAGAGUUGCAAGUGAGGUUACCGAGUAAACUUACCACAAGUAUCAAUCAAGUCUAAGGACAACUGUAUUUUCCAUUGGCAGUGAAUAAUAAAACACAUGAAGCACAUUUGAUGAAUUCAUUACAUUUUCAAAACGUAUGUGAUUUAUUGGCUAGCAACGUUCGAGUAUGUUAGAAAGUCCAUAACAUUUUAAGAAAUAUUGAUACAAAUAUAUUCUUAUACAAUUUUAAAAGUAUAAAACAUAUAUAACUUUUUAUUUAUUGGAACCAAAGCUAAUGUUUCAUUAGGCUCAUCGACUCUAGUAUGUCACCACGUCAACAUAGCAAAACCAUUAAUUGGUGAAAAGUUGUUUCCAAUAUAAAAGAUAGCUAGUGACCAUGAACAAGACCCACUAACUCUUCAGAAAAUGCUCGAGGUAUCCACCGUUUGAAGAAUAACAUAGGGUAUGAUUGGUAACGUGGACAGCGGCAACUGGAGUAAAUUAAAGUAAAAAUUAAGUGGAAAGAUAUAUAUUGUUAUUUGUUUCAGCCGGUUUACUCUUGCUUUUGUAGGGUAGAAAAAAAAUGGAAACAGCAAAUAAAAGAUUCAUUUUCUACCGUAAAGGAGUGAAAAAGUAUUUUCACCUAUUUUAUCACGAUGGAUGAUUGGAUGUAAUUGAAUGAAACUGAGAGUAAAAUAUUUUACUCUUAAUUUUUUUAACGCUAAUGAUGUCAUCCAGUUACACUCAUAGUAAAAUAAUCCAAAACUAUCAUAUUUUCAUACUAUUUUUAGAUUUUAACUAAAAAAAAUUAAGAGAUGUCUCUUAAAUAAUAGAUAUAAAAGAAAUUUCUUAACGAUGAACUGUUGGUGAAUAGAGGUCAGAGCACUCAUAACAAAAAAAAACGCUCUCUAGGAAAGGACGAUAGCAAAGGUGAUUAGGGUUUCACCACCCUUUCGCCGCCUUGGUUUCGCCUCACGCGUAUCAACGAGAAACUUCUUCGUCUUCACUCUCCUCCUCUCCGUCCAUGGCGUCGCUGGUAGCAGGUCUAGCUUCCUUUCCACGCCCUCCCUCAGAUCCGCCAGAUUUGUGUUUUAAGUUUGCUCUCCGGUCAAAUCCUCCAGAUCCUCCGGUUCCUCCUGACCCUCCGCCUGAUAUUCUAUCAGUCAUGGGGUUUCUUCAGUUGUACAAUCUCUGGGCCACCGUUGGCUUUCCCCAUAAGUUCUCAGAUCCAAAGUUAUGCUUGACGAUUUCAGAUGGUGGGCUAGCCUCAGAUAAAGAUUUGUUCUUCCCGGAUGGAACAGUCUUUGUACUUACUCCCCUAUACCAAGUAAGCUCAGACUCUUUACCCUACGCUUCCGAGUGUGGUUGGAUUAUCAGUGUGUGGGUAGAGCUGGUCUUAUUGGAUCUGAGAUUUUCCGUUCUAGUUCCGACUGUUUCGGUUGCAUUUGGUUAUGCUAUUGUGGCCUUUGUUGGUACCUUUGUGGUCUGUGUAUGGUCCAUUACUGCAGUAUGCAGAUGUUGUCCCUUUACUGCAGUAUGCAGGUUUACUUCCACCUUUGCUCUAAUGGCUUUUGAAAUGACAUGGCAUUCUCUCCUCAUGUGGCAAUUUGGAGUGAAAGUUCUGAAGUUGUGUAUCCUUUCAGCAAAUCUGGUUUGUUUAGGCUCUCUUUGUCCUCCCUAUUCCUUUAAGGAGUGUUUCAUCCUCCCACAUCGAUCACUUGUUAUAAGUGAAAUUGUUAUAGGGAGCAUUGUGUUGAAGAUGGUUCUGUUUGUAGCAGAAGCGAAGAUGUCUAUCGUCUCUCGUUUUGAUGGUGUUAACUGUCUGACCUCAUUGACCAUGGAGGCUUUUAUCCCUCCCCUUUAUUGUUUCGAUCAGGAAUGUCAAUUUGAAGAAGUCUUCUGGUCUGACUUGCCUUUCUCGGAGAAAACGGUGGUUGAACGUGUGAUAUCACCUUUAUCAAGUCUUUGCUUGAGUACUUGUUGUUUAAGCUUUACCAUUUGCCUGUCCAGUAUAUUGGUCUGUGCUUUAGUUUCUUUGGCUCUUUGUAGCCUUGUUGUAUCCUCCACUAGUGGAGUUAAACUCUUUUAAGUUUUAAUGGAAGUAAGUUUGAUCAAAAAAAAAAAAAAAAAUUUCUUAACUAAUUUCUUAACUUUUUUUAGUUAAAAGCUAAAAUACUAUAUUUUAUAUUAUGAUAAGAAUUUUAACCUAAGAAACAUACAAUAAACAUGCUCUAAUAGUAACAACUAACUCUUAAGUUCGGACAUUGUUUUCAAACUUCCGGUUUAGUAAUCCAGUCAAUUGAACCUGACCGGAAAUUGGUCCAUGGGUUCACGCACCACCUGUUUAACCCAUCAAAAUACUUUAUUUUAAAGACCAACAACCGAACUUAUUUAACACGUGGUCUAGUCAGCAAUAUUAAUAACAACAAAAACAGUACCCUACCAUGUUUCUAAUUGGUUGCGUAUAUAUCAUCACGGGUUUCCACUUAAGCUCAAACACAAACACAACACACUAUGGAGGGUAAGACAACGACACUGCUCUUGCUCUUGUUCACUCUCCUCCUCACGACAUCUUUAUCCAAAGAUCUCUGUCACAAAGAUGACAAAAACACCCUCCUCAAGAUCAAGAAAGCCAUGAACGACCCUUACACCAUCAUCUCCUGGGACCCCAAGGACGAUUGCUGCACCUGGUACGCCGUUGAGUGCGGCAACGCAUCUAUUAACCACCGCGUCACUUCUCUAGACAUAUCAAACGACGACGUCUCCGCUCAGAUCCCACCCGAAGUCGGCGACUUGCCUUAUCUAGAAUAUCUCAUAUUCCACAAACUCCCUAACCUCACCGGUGAAAUCCCACCCACCAUCACCAAGCUCAAGUAUCUCCGUUAUCUCUGGCUCAGCUGGAACAACCUGAGCGGCCCGGUUCCUGAAUUACUGAGUCAGCUCAAGAAUCUAGAGUACAUUAACCUUUCCUUCAAUAAGCUCU